rnacentral:lncRNA from 1 species
CAUAAACCGACCAGCCGAACUCAGGCUCAAUUUCCCAGAUCGCCCCAAGAGUCAGCUUUCUAAAGAAGCCGACCUGUAGAUAGUUUUCAAGGAAAACGAUCCCGAAGCUGACUGGUUUUAUAGAGUUGGGUCUCAUGACUGGUUGCACUUGCUUGAAGUAAACGUUUAUAUCUCAGCAUAUAUCUUCGAUUAAGGCGAGGUCAACUUCUCAUUUUGUGAGAAAACAAAUUGGAACAGUUUGUGUUUUGUUUUGUGAUGUUGGAACAAAUUGGAAGAAUUGCCUCCAAGAAGUCAGAGUUUGAGAAUUGUACAUGGCGGCGACGGUGGAGAGUAACGAAUCCAACAAAACACAAAACAAAACACAAACUGUUCCAAUUUGUUUUCUCCUUAAGUUCACAAUCGUAGAGUUUUGUUUUCUCCCUAAAAGUUAUAUUAAAGAAAACAUGUUUUUUUUCCUUCUUGAUAAAUCGAAGAUUCUAGACUUUGAUCCAUAAUCCCUUGGAUCGGAAAUUAGAAUGAAUAUUAAUCCCCGUCGA